CCUACGGGCAGCAGCAGUGGGGAAUAUUGGGCAAUGGAGGCAACUCUGACCCAGCAACGCCGCGUGAAUGAUGAAGGUCUUCGGAUUGUAAAGUUCUGUGAUGGGGGAUGAACACAAUGACGGUACCCCAAUAGCAAGCCACGGCUAACUACGUGCCAGCACCCGCGGUAAUACGUAGGUGGCAAGCGUUAUCCGGAAUGACUGGGCGUAAAGGGUGCGUAGGCGGACGCUUAAGUCAGUGGUAAAAUUGCGGGGCUCAACCUCGUCGAGCCGUUGAAACUGGGUGCCUUGAGUGGGCGAGAAGUACGCGGAAUGCGUGGUGUAGCGGUGAAAUGCAUAGAUAUCACGCAGAACUCCGAUUGCGAAGGCAGCGUACCGGCGCCCAACUGACGCUGAAGCACGAAGGCGUGGGUAUCGAACAGGAUUAGAUACCCGGGUAGUC
rnacentral:rRNA from 1 species